rnacentral:rRNA from 1 species
GACGAACGCUGGCGGCGUGCCUAACACAUGCAAGUCGAGCGAUGAAGUUUCUUCGGAAACGGAUUAGCGGCGGACGGGUGAGUAACACGUGGGUAACCUGCCCUAUAGUGGGGGAUAGCCUUUCGAAAGGAAGAUUAAUACCCCAUAACAUCUCAGUAUCGCAUGAUGCAGAGAUCAAAGGAGUAAUCCGCUAUAGGAUGGACCCGCGGCGCAUUAGCUAGUUGGUGAGGUAACGGCUCACCAAGGCGACGAUGCGUAGCCGACCUGAGAGGGUGAUCGGCCACAUUGGGACUGAGACACGGCCCAGACUCCUACGGGAGGCUG